AUGUAAGAAGUUUCCUUUGUUUACUACGCUUAAUUGGGAUUCCACACAUGAAUGAAGAAGAGAAGACGGUCUCUCCCAGGGUGACUGGGAAAGGGAAAAAAAGGUGAUGAAGGAACAGUCUGUGCCUCAGGAGCAUAUUAUUUCAAGAAGCACAAAUGAAGAGAAAGUCCAAACCCUCUGGGACAGAUGGACUAAAUAUUUUGGUAUUGGAACCACAUGGGGAAAGGCAGCAGUUGGGAAACAGAAA
rnacentral:lncRNA from 1 species